AUCGCUUCUCGGCUCUCUGAGCUAAGAUCAUGUGUAGUAUCUGUUCUUUGCAGUGAAUUUUCUGCAACGGUCUCUAAACUGAGACCAAUGAAAUUACCUGUAUUUUUCCCUUACGGACGGGUGCUGUGAGCUUGCUCAACCCCGUCCACGGGUCGGCCUCAUAUUGCAUUACCUCGAGGAUUGGCCCAUUAUAG
rfam:Trichobilharzia regenti genome assembly, scaffold: TRE_scaffold0046513